rnacentral:rRNA from 1 species
AACGAACGCUGGCGGCAGGCUUAACACAUGCAAGUCGAGCGCCCCGCAAGGGGAGCGGCAGACGGGUGAGUAACACGUGGGAAUCUACCCAUCCCUACGGAACAACUCCGGGAAACCGGAGCUAAUACCGUAUACGCCCUUCGGGGAAGAUCUAUCGGGAUGGAUGAGCCCGCGUUGGAUUAGCUAGUUGGUGGGGUAAAGGCCUACCAAGGCGACGAUCCAUAGCUGGUCUGAGAGGAUGAUCAGCCACAUUGGGACUGAGACACGGCCCAA